GACGAACGCUGGCGGCAUGCCUAAUACAUGCAAGUCGAGCGAACAGAUGGAGUGCUUGCACUUCUGACGUUAGCGGCGAACGGGUGAGUAACACGUAAGGAAUCUACCUAUAAGCAGGGGAUAACAUUCGGAAACGGGUGCUAAUACCGCAUAAUAUCUUCUUCCGCAUGGAAGAAGAUUGAAAGACGGCUCUGCUGUCACUUAUAGAUGACCUUGCGGUGCAUUAGUUAGUUGGUGGGGUAACGCCCUACCAACACGAUGAUGCAUAGCCGACCUGAGAGGGUGAUCGGCCACAUUGGGACUGGGACACGGACCAAACUCCUACGGGAGGCAGCAGUAGGGAAUCUUCCGCAAUGGGCGAAAGCCUGACGGAGCAAUGCCGCGUGAGUGAAGAAGGCCUUCGGGUCGUAAAACUCUGUUAUAAGAGAAGAACAAAUUGUAGAGUAACUGCUACAGUCUUGACGGUAUCUUAUCAGAAAGCCACGGCUAACUACGUGCCAGCCGCCGCGGUAA
rnacentral:rRNA from 1 species